AAUUUUUUAUAGUUCUUCUAGAAAUUUUUCUACCAGGAUUUCUGGCUUUGGCUGGAAAUCCCAA